rnacentral:rRNA from 1 species
UACGUAGGGGGGCAAGCGUUUGUCCGGAAUCAUUGGGCGUAAAGAGCGUGUAGGCGGCCCGGUAAGUCCGCUGUGAAAGUCGGGGGCUCAACCCUCGAAUGCCGGUGGAUACUGUCGGGCUAGAGUACGGAAGAGGCGAGUGGAAUUCCUGGUGUAGCGGUGAAAUGCGUAGAUAUCUGGAGGAACACCGGUGGCGAAGGCGGCGUCCUGGACCAACACUGACACUGAGGAGCGAAAGCCAGGGGAGCAAACGGG